rnacentral:rRNA from 1 species
UACAUAGGGGGCGAGCGUUAUCCGGAAUUAUUGGGCGUAAAGAGUGCGUAGGCGGUUUAUUAAGUCUGGUGUGAAAUCCCAUAGCUUAACUAUGGCGGGUCAUUGGAAACUGGUAAACUUGAGUACAGUAGGGGCAAGUGGAAUUCCAAGUGGAGCGGUGGAAUGCGUAGAUAUUUGGAGGAACACCAGUGGCGAAGGCGGCUUGCUGGGCUGGAACUGACGCUGAGGCACGAAAGCGUAGGGAG